rnacentral:misc_RNA from 1 species
GCAAACUUGGUCAUUUAGAGGAAGUAAAAGUCGUAACAAGGUCUCCGUAGGUGAACCUGCGGAGGGAUCAUUAUUGAAUGGCCCAUUGGGCCUUCAACCCAUCAGACCUGUGGACCUUGAAAAUGUGCUUCGGCGCCCCGCCAGCGGGGUGUCGCCUUUAUGCUGUAAGCCGGAUUUUGUCCGAUUCAUUGAAAAGAUUUAAAACUUUCAACAAAGGAUCUCUUGGCUCUCGCAUCGAUGAAGAACGCAGC